UUGUGUGACUGUUAUAUGACCUUUCCUCUUUCUUAGCCUUCAGACUGCGUACCUGUUUUUUGUGAGGCUGAUGUGAUAAACUUGAAUACAAAGAUGAACACGUUUGUUGGAGUUGAGAAUGCCACGUCAGUGCACAGAGGUGAAGAAAGUAUAUCUCAGAGGAGUUAGAGAAGACCAACAGCUAAGAGAUGAUAGUGCUAAAGUCAGGACUUCGGAAUCCUGGAAUUUCCAACAGGCUGGAUUUUCUUGAUGGCAUUCUG